rnacentral:rRNA from 1 species
GACGAACGCUGGCGGCGUGCUUAACACACGCAAGUCGAACGGUAAGGCCCUUCGGGGUACACGAGUGGCGAACGGGUGAGUAACACGUGGGUGAUCUGCCCUGCACUUCGGGAUAAGCCUGGGAAACUGGGUCUAAUACCGGAUAGGACCACUGCCUGCAUGGGUGGUGGUGGAAAGCUUUUGCGGUGUGGGAUGGGCCCGCGGCCUAUCAGCUUGUUGGUGGGGUGAUGGCCUACCAAGGCGACGACGGGUAGCCGGCCUGAGAGGGUGACCGGCCACACUGGGACUGAGGUACGGCCCAGACUCCUACGGGAGGCAGCAGUGGGGAAUAUUGCACAAUGGGCGCAAGCCUGAUGCAGCGACGCCGCGUGAGGGAUGACGGCCUUCGGGUUGUAAACCUCUUUCAGCACCGACGAAGCGCAAGUGACGGUAGGUGCAGAAGAAGGACAGGCCAACUACGUGCCAGCCGCCGCCGUAA